AGGUCUCUGGUAGCGCGGUCGGUGGCCGCGAUUUCCCGCCAUUGUGAGAAGUGGAGGCUGGGACGAUCUCCCCUCCUCCGGUCGCUGGACAGCAGCUCUGAGACACUCGUCACCGUCGCCGCAACCACCUCUCCUUGAGACGCGCGGAGGCCCGUGGCUCGCGACGCCCGGCGCGUGGGAGGGCGCGGACGAGGAGCGGCUGAGCCCCCGAGGAGAAGCCGGGCUCCGAGCGCGCUCGCCCGGCAGAGAAGCGCCGCGCGGGCCGCGCUGGCCCCAGCCCUCAGCGCCAUGCCCUGUGGAGAAGACUGGCUGAGCCACCCGCUCGGGAUCGUGCAAGGCUUCUUCGCACAAAAUGGAGUUACUCCUGACUGGGAGAAGAAAGUUAUUGACUACUUCAAGGAGAAGCUGAAGGAAAAUAAUGCUCCUAAAUGGUCCCCCUUCAUUAUCUGAAGCCUAACAGCUUUGUCAAGUUCCGUUGCAUGAUUCAGGAUAUGUUUGACCCCGAGUUU
rnacentral:lncRNA from 1 species